rnacentral:lncRNA from 1 species
AUCAUACCCAACCCACUGCUGCACGUUGGUGGAAAUGUCAAACUAGCAUCGUGAUUCUCAGGGCCACUGGAAUCCACGAGACUGACUUCCCUGAGGAGAGACUGCCUUCUAAUGGCGUGACCAUCUGCUCCACUUCCUUCGUGUUUGGUCAGUGAAUCACGGCAAGUCACAGGCCACCUGAGCAUUCUACUCACUUCUUUUGGAUGCAUCCAGGCCAAAGGCUCAGAGUGUGUUUGAGUUGAGAUAGAUCUGAGCAUAUUCAGUUAAAUGAGGCCCUCAAAGAGUAUGAUGGGGAAUUAUGCCCCACUGCCUCCCAAACUUCAAAUGUUGAAGCCCUAACCCUUAGAGCCUCAGACAGUAACUCUAUUCGGAGAUAGGGUCUGUAAAGAGGUAAUUAAGAAAAGGAGCAAAAAUGGAGCAAGUUUCCUUCUCCCUUGCGCUAUUUCUAAGGUCAUGUUAUAAAAAUCAAAUGGAGAAUACCUGUCAAACAGUUGAUCAAGCAGUGAGGAGAAAGAGAAAUAAUAUUAAUUCAAAGGGCAUGCUUCAACCCAUAGUCAGAACAAUCUAUUAGUUAAUCAAGCAAGAUUUAUUGAUACUCACCAAGAGACUGAAUAUACAAAUGGACAACGGCCAAGCCAUAAUUAAAAACAACUCCAACCUACAAUCUACAGCAGCCAGCCCAGGACACCAACCCAUUAGCAACAGCAAUCGGCCCAGGAAGCCAGCCUGCUAUCAUCAGCCAGACCUCUAGAAGUCUAACCACUAUCUCUAUCAACAAGUUAGGAAGCCAAACAAUAACCCCUGUAAGAAUCAGCUCCAAAUGGCCAGAACUUGACUGACAAUGGACAGCCUCCCUGAUUUUUGUCCCUGCUUCCAACUUAGGACAAACCAGAGAAAGGCAAAUAUGCACCCUAAGCAAUCACAUAGGCAUCUGUGCUUCUAGUGAACCACCUCCAGCUUCCCACACCAACAGCCUCCAAUCAGCACAUACCUGGAGCCUCCCUUUUUUCUACUAUGAAGUUUUCCCACUCCUCUGCCCGCAUUUGAGUCUCUGCCAAAACACAAACGAUAGUAGCUCUGAAUAAACAGCCUGUGCUUAUUCUUAUUUGGUUGGUCUUCAUUUAUUUCCACACUUCCAAAUGCAAGUAAAUGUUAUGCUAGGCCCUUGAA